CUUCUAGGAAGGAUUGAGAAAAACUCCAGAGCCUCCUCAGGAUGCUGGUGGUUCUGCUGACAGUGGUCCUGCUGCCCCUGAGCUCAGUUCAAAGCUCACAUGAAGACCAUGGCAACCAGACACAGCCUCGUCCUCCUCACCCUGACCAAGGCAACCAGACUCAGCCUCAUCCUCCUCACCCUGACCAUGGCAACCAGACACAGCCUCGUCCUCCUCACCCUGAUCAAGGCAACCAGACACAGCCUCGUCCUCCUCAACCAGGUCAAGGCAAUCAUACUCACCCUCGUCCUCCUCACCCAGACCAUGGUAAUCAGACUCAGCCUCGUCCUCCUCGACCAGGUCAAGGCAACCAGACUCAGCCUCGUCCUCCUCACCCUGACCAUGGCAACCAGACACAGCCUCGUCCUCCUCACCCUGAUCAAGGCAACCAGACACAGCCUCGUCCUCCUCAACCAGGUCAAGGCAAUCAUACUCACCCUCGUCCUCCUCACCCAGACCAUGGUAAUCAGACUCAGCCUCAUCCUCCUCACCCUGAUCAAGGCAACCAGACUCAGCCUCGUCCUCCUCACCCCGACCAUGGCAACCAGACACAGCCUCGCCCUCCUCACCCUGACCAAGGCAACCAGACUCAGCCUCGUCCUCCUCACCCUGACCAUGGCAACCAGACACAGCCUCGUCCUCCUCACCCUGAUCAAGGCAACCAGACUCAGCCUCGUCCUCCUCACCCUGACCAAGGCAACCAGACACAGCCUCGUCCUCCUCACCCUGACCAAGGCAACCAGACUCAGCCUCGUCCUCCUCACCCUGACCAAGGCAACCAGACUCAGCCUCGUCCUCCCCAUCCAGACCUAGGCAACCAGACUCAGCCUCGUCCUCCUCGACCAGGUCAAGGCAACCAGACUCAGCCUCGUCCUCCUCGACCAGGUCAAGGCAACCAGACUCAACCUCGUCCUCCUCUACCUGGUCAAGGCAACCAGAAUCAGCAUCCUCAUUCUCCUCUACCAGAUCAUCCUCCUCACCCUGACUAUCAACGUACACCACAGCAAGAUGGAGGCAAUCAGUUAGGAUCUCAACCUCCUCCUCCUGCCUACUGACACAGGCACAAGAAGAGGAAAUGAUAAAGUACUCAUCAGAAGUUAUGUCACUGAAGCUAUCCUUUGUCAUCUCAACACUUAAAAGACUGAAUGCAAGAUUGACCUAUACUACACAUCACAAGUUACACAGAUAAGGUAUACCAUUGGAAGCUAAACUAUAUCUUCAGUUUCACAAUAAAAAGCCAGAAUGC
rnacentral:lncRNA from 1 species